rnacentral:lncRNA from 1 species
GAAGUACUUGAGAUUAAUCUAUAUGAGGUGGAGUAACCAGUAGGUAAUCACUUGAGCCUGUAGGCGCAGGGCCUGGUGAAGUAACAGAUCAAAAUGACUCGAUCGGGCCGAGAAAAGCGACUAAGCAUAUAUACGUACGGUUCUCGAAGGAUAUGAGUUAGUGAUCGGCUCCGCAGAUGUAAGACCGGAGGAGCAUGGUGGCGCAACGGCGCAGGAUGUAAACACGGGCGCGCCGUUCUCGUACCAGGGACGCACACUUCCUGGUGAGGCCAUUGAUCCUUCCCUUCCUUCUGCUGCACGCCUUGGCCUCAUCACAUUUCCAUGGAUGAAACCCAGCCAUGGCUAAGUAUUGAAGAUGACAGGAAAU